rnacentral:lncRNA from 1 species
CCCAGAACACCAGCCUCAUCAACCAGAAGAAGAAGAUGGAUGCUGACCUGUCCCAGCUCCAGACUGAAGUGGAGGAGGCAGUGCAGGAGUGCAGGAAUGCUGAGGAGAAGGCCAAGAAGGCCAUCACGGAUGCCGCCAUGAUGGCAGAGGAGCUGAAGAAGGAGCAGGACACCAGCGCCCACCUGGAGCGCAUGAAGAAGAACAUGGAACAGACCAUUAAGGACCUGCAGCACCGGCUGGACGAAGCCGAGCAGAUCGCCCUCAAGGGCGGCAAGAAGCAGCUGCAGAAGCUGGAAGCGCGGGUGCGGGAGCUGGAGAAUGAGCUGGAGGCCGAGCAGAAGCGCAACGCAGAGUCGGUGAAGGGCAUGAGGAAGAGCGAGCGGCGCAUCAAGGAGCUCACCUACCAGACGGAGGAGGACAGGAAAAACCUGCUGCGGCUGCAGGACCUGGUAGACAAGCUGCAGCUAAAGGUCAAGGCCUACAAGCGCCAGGCCGAGGAGGCGGAGGAGCAAGCCAACACCAACCUGUCCAAGUUCCGCAAGGUGCAGCACGAGCUGGAUGAGGCAGAGGAGCGGGCGGACAUCGCCGAGUCCCAGGUCAACAAGCUGCGGGCCAAGAGCCGUGACAUUGGCACGAAGGGCUUGAAUGAGGAGUAGCUUUGCCACAUCUUGAUCUGCUCAGCCCUGGAGGUGCCAGCAAAGCCCCAUGCUGGAGCCUGUGUAACAGCUCCUUGGGAGGAAGCAGAAUAAAGCAAUUUUCCUUGAAGCCGAGA